rnacentral:lncRNA from 1 species
UUUAUUCUUAUCAUUAAUUUCAUCAUCUUCAGAAUCAGAUAUAUAUGUGGAUUUCUUGGCCCUAAUGUAUUGUUUUUACAAUUAUAUGACAAAUGACCUUCUUCUCCACAUUCAUAACAUUGAGAUUUAUCUGGAUAAUCUCUUCGACGUAUAAAUUCAGUACUCCUUCCAUUAUCUACUGCUAUGGAACUUCUUACUCACAAGUAAUAGCAUCUUCUGGAGUAAGAAAUAAUACAAAUGCAACUCCACGACUCCUUCUUGUUAUUUUAUCUUUCAUUACUGUUACUCUAUAGACAAAUAAGUAUUUCAUGUAUCAAAUUUUUUAUAAAAAAAAUAAAACUCCCAACAAAAUAAAAAUUUUCUUUUUUA